UACACUGUAAAAAAAGAUUGUAUUUUAACAGGAAAAAACCUUAAUAUUUUACUGUAAUUUUUUCUUUUUUUUAAAUUGUAUACAAAUUUCAUUAAAAUUACAGACAAUUAUCUGUUAAUUAAUAACCCACAUAUUAUUUUACGUGUUAAGACAAUAAUGACAAAUUACAUGUUUUUCUUGUUUUUGUAGAGAAAAAAUACUGUAAUAUUUAUACAGUAUUUUUACUGCUUUCUUAAGUAACAUACAAAUUUAUGUAAAAUUAUGAUAAUUUUCUGUAAUUAAAUUUGUUGCUCAUUAUAUAAAGGUUUAUUUCUGUACAAAUAAUUUAACGGUUUUCUUCCAUAUUUUUAAGUCAGAUCUUAGUUUUUUUAUUAGUGUAUAUGCAUAUUUUUACGUUAAAUUUUUUAGCAAACUGUUUAGUUAGGCUACAGUACAUUUAAACAAUACACAGUCAAAAUUACAAAGCUGCACUACUCUUGAGGUUGGAACUUUCAUGUUUCCUGAAAGUGAUAUGACAGCCCCGUUGAAAAAAACAGCAUAUGCUGGUUAGGUAUGUUUUGAAGCAUGGUAGCUGGUUUAAGCUGAGAACCAGCCGGUUGCAUAAAGCACCUUAAGUGUAAUUUUGCCUUAAGUGUGUCCUUAAGUAUACCUUAAGUUUUACUAAAGUUAUUCUCCUAUUGUCUUCGGUAAAGGGAAAUCACCUCUAAAGUGUCAUACUUAAGGGAAAAAAUUAAGCUGCUUUAUGCAACCGGGCCCCGCACAUGACCAGCUCAAACCAGCUACCAUGCUUCAAAACAUACCUAACUACAGUAGCAUAAGGCUGUUUUUUUCAACAGGGAGAGAAAGCACAUGGCAGUAAACAUGACAAAAGUUGCAAUAGUCUAGCCAACAAAAACAUGAUUAAUGAUAAUCAUUAAUAAAUUCAUUUUUUCUCAUAUCAUGAAUGGCUAUGGCCUAACCACUACAGUCCAUACAUUAAACCUGGUUAGCUCAGAGAGAAAAACCUUAAAGACAGGAGAAUGGACUGAUUUAAAACUGCAGUUAAAGAAACAUAUGAAAACAAACGUAAUCAGUAUAGAACUUUGGAGAAUGUGGCCAGAGGCUUAACAGAUUUGUUCAAAUUCAAGAGGAUCAUUCUAGGACAAUACAUCGAGCUGUAAGUUACCAUAAUGUUAAUACAUUUAGUAAUGAUCUUUUCAUAUAGGCCUGCAGUAUGUCAUAAGCAUCUUGUUUGCUCUUUUGCUAUUUUGUAAAAGUAGUGGCUGCAUUUUUGUUGAUUGUCGUCAGCCCUAAUUUUGUUUCAUGUAAUGGCACUGAAACAUUUUAUAUUUGUGUGCCUGUUUUUUAGAAACCACUUCCAAGCACCAAACGUGUGUAUUCAUUAAACUUGUACCAUACAUUAGUUAAUUUUAUUCAUAUACUGCAAUGAAAACAUCUGACCAAUUAAAUAUAUAGCAACAUUCAAAUAAAACUAAACACGUUUAUUUUCUUUUAAAAACAACCUAUCUUAACUAUAGCUGUUGUUACUACACUUGCUAUUGGUAAACAGAUGUCAUUGGUUGACUCCCCGUGCUGCUUUGAGCACGAUUGGGUAAACUUACUGUCAUUCAGGAAACUAGCCAAUUAGAGCUGUUCGCGCCCUUCACUGGUUCAUUUUGAACAUACGCGAGGAAUUGAUGUCUGUCAGUUAGUUUCAGUAGUAUUGAUGGUCCAGUUAUAUGUAAACAGCGCUGAAGACACGAAGUCGUGUGGAAGUUGCAGGCUGCUGGAGAAUAAUCACACGCAUUAACAGCUUUACCAGCAGAAGUACACAGAAAUAUAUGAUAAGAUUUGCCUGGGCAGUACACACACCUGAUGAAGGGAAGAAAAGCUACCCAGGCACCCAAACUCCAUCGGUAGUAAGUGUUUAAACAUUCGACCUGAGUAUUUGUAUUAUGUUGUUAUUAACAAUUGUGUAAUAUUAUGUAUGCUUAAUACUGUUAUAAUGUAACUCUGUAACCGUUUGGGUUACGUAUUUCUUGGGUUAAAACAUAACAAAAUAAGGGACUUUUUAUUUUCUAACUCUUACAAUAACAAUCACGUACAGUUAAACAUUUACAUCAUUUGUGAAAGAAAAAUUGUCCAUUCCUUUAAACUGGUGACUUGUUUUGCUGAUUUAAUGAUGGAAGUUAUAAGACUUACAUUUAAGUUAGCAUUGUAACUUGUUUUCUAACAGUAUACUCUGUAUUCACAUUGCCGUAAUGUAUAAUGAUGGCAGAUUCAGUCCUUUAUCUAACGUUACUACAUUGCAUAUUUGCCACAGACUCAUUUACUUUUUUGUGGUAUGUUUUUACUUAUGGUAUGAUUUACUUAUUCUGACAGUUUGAUGUUUGUCCAAAUAUACUAUCAAAACUUCCUCCGAUACCUUUUUGUGACCCUGUGUAAAUGUUUUCAACACCACUUGAAACUGUUGUAUUUCUCCAGGAUUAAAAGUUUGUUUUAUAAGAAUUUGAUGAAUGUAUUGUAUGGGGAUGUACUUUUUAUUUAUUUAUUAUAUUCAACCAUUUGUUUAAAGCAUAUACUGUAAUUCUGUACUGUAAAGAAGUCAAUCAUUGUGUAUUUCGAGUGUACAUUUACAAAUUAUGGUGAUUGUGUUCAUAUGAUUAAUAUGUUUACCUAAAUAAAAUGUUAUUCUACAAUGCUAAACAUGUGUUUUUCAUUUUAUUGACAGUAUCUGACUAGUAAUUCAUGGCCAAUAUCUGUAAAGUUACAGAGCAUUUACUGUAUUAAAAGUAUUUGACUGAAAAAAUUCAGGAAAGAAACUGUAAAAUAACAGUGUUUUUCUGCAGAACAUUAGUACUUUCACAUAGUUUAAAGAGGUUUAUCAUUAUAAUUCAGAAAAAAAAGCAUAAAAUAACAGUAUUUUUCUGUAAAACCUUAUGUGCAGUCACUUUAUUGAAGGUGUUUGAUCGUAAUAAUUAAGGAAAAGUCUGUGAAAUAACUGUGUUUCCCUGUAAAACAUUUAAAGAAAAAUUACGUAAAUGUAAUGUUUUUCUCCAUUAUUUGAUUUACGGAGUUUCAUCUUAAUUUUAUGGUUUUUGUUUGGCAGCCGCUGCUGCCAGUGAUUUGACCGUUUUUUUACGAUAUUUUU